UAACUGAGCUAGCGGCGGACGGGUGAGUAAUGCUUAGGAAUCUGCCUAUUAGUGGGGGACAACAUUCCGAAAGGAAUGCUAAUACCGCAUACGCCCUACGGGGGAAAGCAGGGGAUCUUCGGACCUUGCGCUAAUAGGUGAGCCUAAGUCAGAUUAGCUAGUUGGUGGGGUAAAGGCCUACCAAGGCGACGAUCUGUAGCGGGUCUGAGAGGAUGAUCCGCCACACUGGGACUGAGACACGGCCCAGACUCCUACGGGAGGCAGCAGUGGGGAAUAUUGGACAAUGGGCGCAAGCCUGAUCCAGCCAUGCCGCGUGUGUGAAGAAGGCCUUUUGGUUGUAAAGCACUUUAAGCGAGGAGGAGGCUACUUGGAUUAAUACUCUAGGAUAGUGGACGUUACUCGCAGAAUAAGCACCGGCUAACUCUGUGCCAGCAGCCGCGGUAAUACAGAGGGUGCGAGCGUUAAUCGGAUUUACUGGGCGUAAAGCGUGCGUAGGCGGCUUCUUAAGUCGAGAUGUGAAAUCCCUGAGCUUAACUUAGGAAUUGCAUUCGAUACUGGGAAGCUAGAGUAUGGGAGAGGAUGGUAGAAUUCCAGGUGUAGCGUGAAAUGCGUAGAGAUCUGG
rnacentral:rRNA from 1 species